GGGGAAUAUUGCACAAUGGGCGCAAGCCUGAUGCAGCAACGCCGCGUGAGGGAUGACGGCCUUCGGGUUGUAAACCUCUUUUAGUAGGGGAGAAGCGAAAGUGACGGUACCUGCAGAAAAAGCACCGGCUAACUACGUGCCAGCAGCCGCGGUAAUACGUAGGGUGCAAGCGUUGUCCGGAAUUAUUGGGCGUAAAGGGCUCGUAGGCGGCUUGUCGCGUCUGCUGUGAAAUCCCGGGGCUCAACCCCGGGCCUGCAGUGGGUACGGGCAGGCUAGAGUGCGGUAGGGGAGAUUGGAAUUCCUGGUGUAGCGGUGGAAUGCGCAGAUAUCAGGAGGAACACCGAUGGCGAAGGCAGAUCUCUGGGCCGCUACUGACGCUGAGGAGCGAAAGCAUGGGGAGCGAAC
rnacentral:rRNA from 1 species